rnacentral:lncRNA from 1 species
ACUCUCCUACUUGUCCACCAACCUCUCUAAACCCUUUAGAGAAUGUAGGAUAAUUCCACUUAUCAUUCCCACUCAUCAGACUUCAUAAUCAAUCAAAUUCAAAAUAUCACAUUUAAACUUCACACUUUUCCACGUCUACAGAGCAAUGCACCUUUAAUCUUCCGGCUGUUUGUUCACUCUUAUAACGAGUCAAGGACCUCACUUCCACUCUUAAAAAGAUGUCGGUUGGCUCCAGCUACCAACCCCACAUUC